AUCUUCCGCAAUGGACGAAAGUCUGACGGAGCAACGCCGCGUGAGUGAUGAAGGCUUUCGGGUCGUAAAACUCUGUUGGUAGGGAAGAACAAGUGCUAGUUGAAGUAGCUGGCACCUUGACGGUACCUAACCAGAAAGCUACGGCUACCUACGUGCCAGCAGCCGCGGUAAUACGUAGGUGGCAAGCGUUAGCCGGAAUUAUUGGGCGUAAUGCGCGCGCAGGUGGUUUCUUACGUCUGAUGUGAAAGCCCACGGCUCAACCGUGGAGGGUCAUUGGAAACUGGGAGACUUGAGUGCAGAAGAGGAAAGUGGAAUUCCAUGUGUAGCGGUGAAAUGCGUAGAGAUAUGGAGGAACACCAGUGGCGAAGGCGACUUUCUGGUCUGUAACUGACACUGAGGCGCGAAAGCGUGGGGAGCAAACAG
rnacentral:rRNA from 1 species